rnacentral:lncRNA from 1 species
AAAUCCAUAAAUACAUUCACAUAUACAAUUGGUGAAUGGCAUCGCAAUUAUUCACAAAAUAUCUCAAAAACCCACUAAGGAGAUAACCCAUCUUCAAUCUUGACCACUGAAUUAAUGGUGAAAAUGACAUUUUUGUAUGAUACCCAAGUUUUAUUUUUUGUGUAUGCUAAAUGCCACUGACGCCAGUCAUAAUUGUAUAUUUAUCG